rnacentral:lncRNA from 1 species
AGAGAAUCAAGUUAGGUAGUGAACCAAAAUAUGGAUCCAUAUACACAAGGUACCAAGGUGACCUCAGAUCAAAGGAUCACUUACAUAACUCCCACUAGAGAAUUAUCAGUUGAUAUGUAAAUAAGACUCCAUCUAAUUAUUCUCUUGUAGGAUAAUUUAGUAAACUCAUUCUCUAAUGAGCAUCCAUAUUCUUUUAUUAGUGUCACCACACAAGUAGUUGUAAGAUCAACCACC